ACCUGUAUGCUACCAGGAGAAGGAUGGUGGAGAGCAGGAACUCUGUAGGCCAAGUCUCUCCGAGUGCCAUGUUGCUGUGAGGCCAGCAGAGUCUGUGGCAGGGAGGCCAGCGCCUGCCCGGAGCCUGCUGCUGCUUUGGCAAGGCUGCAGUGUCUGCUUGUUGGGGUGAUGAAACACCCCAGAGAACAGAGCUGUAUGUGAAGAGAUUUGUGUGGAAAGGAGGAUUUUAAAAGAUUCUAUUUUUUUUUUAUCUCAACAUUCCUUCAAGCAGCCCAACUUCCUACAUCAAAGGAGCUGAAGCUCUGCCUCCUCGACAAGUCUUAGUUUCCAUAGCAUGAAUUUUUUGGAAAUGCCCUCUCUUCCGUACGCUAGGUCUAUAGCAUGCGUGGUUACUGGUGAUGAUCAUUGAUCUCAGAACACCCGGAUGCUGCUGAAAACCAUGAGGGUAUUUUGAGCCUUGGAAUCUGGGCUUGGCCGCAUGUUUGGAUUAACAACCAGUUAAACCUUGCUAAGGCAAUAUUUUUCUAUGCAGUUAGUUUUUAUACUAAACAAGGUUUGUAGUAAUUGGAUGCCUUACUUGAGCAAAACUGUUUACCAGAAAAUAAAUCACUCCUGGCACUAAGAAAACACGAGCCGGAGGAUCGGCCGGCACAGUCAACCCUGUUCCUUUCUCAUAAACUUAGCCCCAAACAUGUGUGUGCUCAUCUAGGGCGACUUG
rnacentral:lncRNA from 1 species